rnacentral:tRNA from 1 species
ACAGGUGUAGCUCAAUUGGUAGAGCAGCCGUCUCCAAAGCGGCCGGUUGUGGGUUCGACUCCCUCCGCCUGUG